GAGCGUGCAUGCACUGCCUUUCCCAGGCCUGGCUGCUCCCGCUGAGCUGGCUGUUGUGGUGGUCUCUGCAGCAGGAUUCAGAGGCUCUACUUAGCACUUGGACCUGGAGCUUCUGUGAAAACCUGUCUGCCUGUGCUGUGCAGCUGAACGGCCCUGGAUCUGGCUUUGUAUUGCUGGAGAGGGACAUGAACUAGCUUGUGUGUGGCUUUGUAGCAGCAUCUCAGCACUCACUGUAAAUAGACAGACUUCCCAGCUGCUGAAGUAUUUUGGCAGAAAAAAGAAAUGCCCUGCUAGCGUCCAAAGAACGAGUGAAACAGAGCAAACUAGGGUGAGAAUAUAUUUAGUGUGAAAUAGUAAAACUGAAGUAGGGUCAACACAUGUGUUUCUCCAUUAAUACCUGGUAUAUGCAAAAUGCAGGAUGGCAGGGGUAUAGUGAUGCCUAUCUUGGUUUUGCCAUUAGCUUUGUAGCAAGAGCCUUUACCUUCCCAUAGCAUAGACAAUGUUGUUCUGGUGAAGACAGUAAGUAUUAAGUCACUACUUUCUUGUCUUGUAUUUAACCCCUGCAGGUCAAAGAGGAUUUAAAUGGGUUUCAUAACUAAAUCACUCUUGUUACUGUGCUUGUGGAGUUCCUCAGAUAGAUAGUGAUUGGAGAUACGUCACUGUGGGUUAACUCAGCCUCGGACCUUUUCAGCAAACAGUCAGAGGGUCUCUCAUACCAGUUUGCCUGCUCCAUGGCCACGCCAUGGCUACCCUCCUACCUGUGUCCCCUGCACAGCCUAAGCCACCUUGGCAGCAGCAGGUUAGACACUGUAUCUGCCAGCUCUGGAAAAGGAAGGUUGUUGGUUCAGCUACUGACUCAAGUCAUUCUCUGAAACUGCCAAAGCCAUUUUGCUGGAAACAUCAAACUAAUUAAGUAGGCCAGAAAUGAAAUGUGAAGUGGCUGAAACCUGGAAAAGUUGUAGUCUACUGAAAUGAGAAGGAAUGGCCAUCCUGAAAGUAGAGCUUUAAAAUAUUUUUGUGUCAUUGAAGCAAUAUACAUAUGUAUAAAAUAAGUAUGUCUGGAAACAGAAGCUCUAGAACAUGAUCAGUUUUUUAUUUAAAAACAAUUUUUUGAAAUUCCAGGAUUUUCUGUGAGCUGGAAACGGUGGAUUUUGGUGGGUGUCCUUCCCACAGAAUAAUUCAGUGUUUUAUAAGCUUUUCCCAAAAGCUGAGUAGCAGCAAACUGUUGGCCAGCAUGGGUAAACAUGCUUGGAAUUGAAUAUCCACUUGCAGUCUAAAUGUACUCCAGUCUCUUUCAUUAGAAUACAGCCUUUCAGCUCUGCUUAAUGUAAUUUGCUUACAGAAGGGAGAAAAUGUCUUAUAAGGACUUCCAAGAAAGCAGACUGAGGUUCUCAGGCUCCCUUAAUGGUCAGCACUGGCUAUUCCUGAAAAAAGGUCUAGAUGACUUCAGAGAUGGCUUUCCUCCUUCACCUGAUAACAUGACUGGUAGAAAGCGGCCUGUCUCAAUUACCCUUCACAACAGCACACUGAGAUCUUUGUCUGCAGUUCCACGGAAGAAAAAGAAGCAGCAGGCCAAAACAGAGGUCUGACUGCCCAGGCUCAGCCCACUGCAGCAAGCCAGGAGGGACUACGUUGCACAGAUUGAGUGCUCUCUGCACCAGCGCUCUACACACGCUUGGAAAAAAGUAUCUCCCCAAAGGUCUUGAGACAAGUUGCUGGUGUCCUGGAUCCUGAAAUGCUUUUGAAAGGCAAGGCUGGCUACAAUGACUCUGAACAGAACCAACUCUUUUGGGAGGUGCUGGAUCGUCGGGAGGACGUCAAAAGCAAAGCAACAGCAUCCAAGGCACAAGCACACAGGACAUGGUUUUGUCAGCUCAUCUAACAGCUCCCAGCCAGGGGAAUUUCUCUUGUCCAGCAGCACCUCUCCUCCUGGCUGGAAGGUCCCAGGCCCUCCCCCUACACUUUCAGGGAUACACAGACCUCGCUCGCUCCGAUUUCAUCCUGGUCUUUCAGGUAAGGAUCCAGAGUCUGAUUUAACUUGCUGUGUCACUUUCAGUUAUCAUUUAAAACCUGGCUAACACAAUCCAGCACCGAGGGGUAGGCAGGGCUGUCAGCGAAGGCUUCUCCUCAGAACAGAUGGGGGGAAUGAAUCCUGCUUUAUUAUAAAGCUGAAUAGCACAUGGGGAGUUUGCUGAACACUUUUUUUCUUGUUUCACAGUGGCUGUUUGCUUUACCCAAGGUAACCUAAGGAAGUAUUUGUUCACGGCUGCUUGGGAAACAGUCUGUGCUUUGAAUUUAUUUUUCCUGAAUGCUUCUCACGGGUAGGCUGUUGUGCUGGCAUUGCUAGGCUCCCAAGAUGUGCUGCAGGGUGAUUUCCAAUCAGUUGUCAGUAAAUGCGGAUUUUCCGUUGUCUCUACAACAGGAUGUACAAAAAAAUGUGGAAACUUCAUAUUUAGGCAUGUGGUUCCAGAGCCCCAAGGACCGGCACGUUCCUGUGGCUGUAACCUGGAAAGCUGUGCUGGUGGAUGAAAUGCAGCCUCGCCGUGACCCGCGGACUUUUAACACCACAGCACUCCCAGGCUGGUGAACACCAGGGCUUUGAAGAUGAAAAUGUCUUUGAGACAAGUUUCAGUGAGCUUAGUACCUAACCACUGAAAUACUCCUGGCCAUGUCAGCGCAUGGCAGGAUUCCUUUUGCCUCCCUUUGCAUUCCACAUUUCUUUGAAUUGGCUAUCUUUUUCCAUGAAGGAAAGGGGGAAAAACAAUCUUUUUCCAAAUUCAUUUUCCAUAGCUCCAAUGUAACAUUAGAAUAAGAUAUACAUCGAUCCUCUUUACUCUUUGGCUCUUCAAAAUUCGGCCCCCACAAGACUGAUUUGUCUUUAGGACAGACACCUUGCAUAUGAAUGCCUAGCCCUGACAUACCUGUGUUAAAGGCACUUUUUUCAGUGGUGAGGUAAAAUUCUGAUCUGAGGACUGCAAUUUCAAGAGCGAUUUAAGCGUGUUUGGAUUUUUAGAAUUCGAUUCUGCACUGACUCACAGGGCCCUGAAGGAGCUGAGCGAUGCAGAGCUGAUCCUAAAACCAUAAACCAGUUCAGCCUCAAUCUGUCACAGUUUCUGCAAGCGCAUCAUAAUAUUUCUAUCCCAGUA